GAUGAACGCUGGCGGCGUGCCUAAUACAUGCAAGUCGAGCGAAUGGAUUAAGAGCUUGCUCUUAUGAAGUUGGCGGCGGACGGGUGAGUAACACGUGGGUAACCUGCCCAUAAGACUGGGAUAACUCCGGGAAACCGGGGCUAAUACCGGAUAAUAUUUUGAACUGCAUGGUUCAAAAUUGAAAGGCGGCUUCGGCUGUCACUUAUGGAUGGACCCGGGUCGCAUUAGCUAGUUGGUGAGGUAACGGCUCACCAAGGCAACGAUGCGUAGCCGACCUGAGAGGGUGAUCGGCCACACUGGGACUGAGACCCGGCCCAGACUCCUACGGGAGGCAGCAGUAGGGAAUCUUCCGCAAUGGACGAAAGUCUGACGGAGCAACGCCGCGUGAGUGAUGAAGGCUUUCGGGUCGUAAAACUCUGUUGUUAGGGAAGAACAAGUGCUAGUUGAAUAAGCUGGCACCUUGACGGUACCUAACCAGAAAGCCACGGCUAACUACGUGCCAGCCGCCGCCGUAA
rnacentral:rRNA from 1 species